rnacentral:rRNA from 1 species
CAGUCGAGCGAACGGACGAGAAGCUUGCUUCUCUGAUGUUAGCGGCGGACGGGUGAGUAACACGUGGAUAACCUACCUAUAAGACUGGGAUAACUUCGGGAAACCGGAGCUAAUACCGGAUAAUAUUUUGAACCGCAUGGUUCAAAAGUGAAAGACGGUCUUGCUGUCACUUAUAGAUGGAUCCGCGCUGCAUUAGCUAGUUGGUAAGGUAACGGCUUACCAAGGCAACGAUGCAUAGCCGACCUGAGAGGGUGAUCGGCCACACUGGAACUGAGACACGGUCCAGACUCCUACGGGAGGCAGCAGUAGGGAAUCUUCCGCAAUGGGCGAAAGCCUGACGGAGCAACGCCGCGUGAGUGAUGAAGGUCUUCGGAUCGUAAAACUCUGUUAUUAGGGAAGAACAUAUGUGUAAGUAACUGUGCACAUCUUGACGGUACCUAAUCAGAAAGCCACGGCUAACUACGUGCCAGCAGCCGCGGUAAUACGUAGGUGGCAAGCGUUAUCCGGAAUUAUUGGGCGUAAAGCGCGCGUAGGCGGUUUUUUAAGUCUGAUGUGAAAGCCCACGGCUCAACCGUGGAGGGUCAUUGGAAACUGGAAAACUUGAGUGCAGAAGAGGAAAGUGGAAUUCCAUGUGUAGCGGUGAAAUGCGCAGAGAUAUGGAGGAACACCAGUGGCGAAGGCGACUUUCUGGUCUGUAACUGACGCUGAUGUGCGAAAGCGUGGGGAUCAAACAGGAUUAGAUACCCUGGUAGUCCACGCCGUAAACGAUGAGUGCUAAGUGUUAGGGGGUUUCCGCCCCUUAGUGCUGCAGCUAACGCAUUAAGCACUCCGCCUGGGGAGUACGACCGCAAGGUUGAAACUCAAAGGAAUUGACGGGGACCCGCACAAGCGGUGGAGCAUGUGGUUUAAUUCGAAGCAACGCGAAGAACCUUACCAAAUCUUGACAUCCUUUGACACUCUAGA